AAUUAAGUUAUUAAGGGCAUAGAGUGGAUGCCUUGGUGCUAGAAGGCGAUGAAAGACGUGAUAAGCUGCGAUAAGCUUCGGUUAGGUGCAAACAACCUUUAACCCGGAGAUUUCUGAAUGGGGUAACCUGAUACGAUUGAAUCGUAUCGUUCCUUCCUGAAUAAAAUAAGGAAGGAUACGCAAGACCUGCUGAAUUGAAACAUCUUAGUAAGCAGAGGAAAAGAAAGAGAAUUCGAUUCCGUAAGUAGCGGCGAGCGAAAACGGACCAGCCCAAACCGGCAUCUUUGAUGUCGGGGUUGUAGGACCCCGCUGUGGGACCUUUGAAGAUAGGUGAACACUUUGGAAAGAGUGGACAAAGAGCGUGACAUCCGCGUAACCGAAAUCUGAAAAGGCCCUAGGGAGUUCCUGAGUAGCACGGGACACGUGAAACCCCGUGUGAAUCUGCGCAGACCACUGCGUAAGGCUAAAUACUAACUAGCGACCGAUAGUGAACCAGUACCGUGAGGGAAAGGUGAAAAGUACCCCUGUGAGGGGAGUGAAAUAGAACCUGAAACCCUAUGCCUACAAGGUGUUAGAGCCCUUUCGAGGGUGAUAGCGUGCCUUUUGCUUAAUGAGUCUGCGAGUUACCGUCUGUGGCAAGCUUAAGAUCUUCUGGAUCGUAGGCGUAGCGAAAGCAAGUCCGAAUAGGGCGACCCUAGUUGCAGGCGGUAGACCCGAAACGGAGGUGACCUACCCAUGGCCAGGUUGAAGCUUAGGUGAUACUAAGUGGAGGACCGAACCGGUGUGUGUUGAAAAACGCUCGGAUGAGCUGUGGGUCGGAGUGAAAGGCUAAUCAAACCCCGUGAUAGCUGGUUCUCCUCGAAAUGCAUUUAGGUGCAGCGUUGCGUGUUGAUGAGUGGGGGUAGAGCACUGACAGGGCUAGGGGGCAUACCCGCCUACCAACCCCUAUCAAACUCCGAAUACCAUUCAAUAGAGCGCAGCAGUGAGACGGCGGGGGAUAAGCUUCGUCGUCGAGAGGGAAACAGCCCAGAUCAGCAGCUAAGGUGCCUAAAUUGUGCUCAGUGGAAAGGAGGUGAGGUUUCAUAGACAGUGAGGAUGUUGGCUUAGAAGCAGCCACCAUUUAAAAAAUGCGUAAUAGCUUACUCAUCGAGAGACCUUGCGCCGAAAAUACUUGGCGAUAAGCACAAUACCGAAGCUCUGGGUGUCCUAGUUUACUAGGGCGCGGUAGAGGAGCAUUCUCUGUGCAGUGAAGGGUGAUGGCGACUGACCCUGGAGCGCAGAGAAGUGAGAAUGCAGACAUGAGUAACGAUAAGAGCGGUGAAAUCCCGCUCCGCCGUAAAUCCAAGGUUUCCCGGGCAACGUUUUUCGUCCCGGGGUUAGUCGGGACCUAACCCGAGGCCGAUGGGCGUAGGGGAUGGUAAGCAGGUUAAUAUUCCUGCACCCAGUAAGGAGGACGCAUAAUGAAAAGCUACUAGGUUAUUGAAUUCCGAGGCGAGG
rnacentral:rRNA from 1 species